AGAGCGCAAGGGGAAUGCCUUGGCAUCAGGAGCCGAUGAAGGACGUGAUAAGCUGCGAUAAGCUUCGGGGAGCUGCAAAUGAGCUGUGAUCCGGAGAUUUCCGAAUGGGGAAACCCACCGCAAGGUAUCCUAUACUGAAUCAAAUAGGUAUAGGAGGGGAACCGCCUGAACUGAAACAUCUAAGUAGGGCGAGGAAAAGACAUCAACCGAGAUUCCGCGAGUAGUGGCGAGCGAAAGCGGAUUAGGCCAAACCGGAGGUAGCAAUAUCUCCGGGGUUACGGACAGCGACAUGAAGAGUCAUCUCUAAAAGAACGGCAUGGGAAGGCCGGCCAGAGAGUGUGAGAGCCACGUAUUUGAAAGAGAGGACUUGGAUAGCUGGAUCCAGAGUACCGCGGGACACGAGGAAUCCCGUGGGAAGUCGGGGGGACCACCCUCCAAGCCUAAAUACUACCUGAUGACCGAUAGAGGAGCAGUACCGUGAGGGAAAGGUGAAAAGAACCCCGGGAGGGGAGUGAAAGAGUACCUGAAACCUUGUGCUUACAAGCAGUCAAAGCCCGUUAAAGGGUGAUGGCGUACUUUUUGUAGAACGGUCCGGCGAGUUAUAGUAACUGGCAAGGUUAAGACAUUGAGUGUCGAAGCCGAAGGGAAACCGAGUGUGAAGAGCGCGUUUAAGUCAGUUGCCAUAGACCCGAAACCAGGUGACCUAGCCAUGACCAGGCUGAAGUGGAGGUAAAGCUCCAUGGAGGGCCGAACCCACGUUCGUUGCAAUGACCGGGGAUGAGUUGUGGCUAGCGGUGAAAUUCCAAACGAACCUGGAGAUAGCUGGUUCUCCCCGAAAUAGUUUUAGGACUAGCGUUGGCAAUGAGUUUCUCGGUGGUAAAGCACUGAAUGGGCUAGGGGGCGAUAAGCUUACUGAACCCUAUCAAACUAAGAAUGCCGAAGAAAUGCUUACCAGCAGUCAGACUACGAGUAAUAAAAUCCGUGGUCAAAAGGGAAAUAGCCCAGACCCACAGCUAAGGUCCCGAAUACAUGCUAAGUGGAAAACGAUGUGAGAUUGCAGAAACAACCAGGAUGUUGGCUUAGAGGCAGCCACUCGUUCAAAGAGUGCGUAAUAGCUCACUGGUCGAGUGAUCUUGCGCGGAAAAUUUAACGGGGCUAAGCAUGUAACCGAAGCUUGGGAUUCACAGUAAAAUGUGAGUGGUAGGGGAGCGUCGAAUACGGGGUGAAGUCGCACCGGAAGGAGCGGUGGACUGUAUUCGAGUGAGAAUGCCGGAAUGAGUAGCGAGAAUUAUGUGGGAAUCAUAAUGGCCGAAAAUCUAAGGUUUCCUGGGGAAGGUUCGUCCGCCCAGGGUAAGCCGGGAGCUAAGGCGAGGCCGCAAGGCGUAGUCGAUGCACAUACGGUAGAAAUUCCGUAGCCGGUACAAUUGUUAAUCACGGUGACACAUGAGCGUAGCUCUACCGGGCGUUGGUUGCCCCGGGAGUAAUCGAGCCGAAUGAGGCGAAGUGAGUGAAGCUUGUGGCGAGAAAAGCCGUGUGGAUUGAUUGUACCGCCCGUACCGCAAACCGACACAGGUAGAUGAGGAGAAGAUCCUAAGGCCAACGGGAGAAGGGUUGUUAAGGAACUAGGCAAAUUGACCCCGUAACUUCGGAAUAAGGGGUGCCUACGAAAGUAGGUCGCAGAGAAUAGGCCCAAGCAACUGUUUACCAAAAACACAGGUCUCUGCUAAAUCGAAAGAUGACGUAUAGGGGCUGACGCCUGCCCGGUGCUGGAAGGUUAAGAGGAGAGCUUAGGGAAACCGAAGGUUCGAAUUGAAGCCCCAGUAAACGGCGGCCGUAACUAUAACGGUCCUAAGGUAGCGAAAUUCCUUGUCAGGUAAGUUCUGACCCGCACGAAUGGCGUAAUGAUUUGGGCACUGUCUCAACAGCCCGCCCGGCGAAAUUGUAGUACUGGUGAAGAUGCCAGUUACCCGCAACUAGACGGAAAGACCCCAUGGAGCUUUACUGCAGCUUAAUACUGGAAUUCGGUAAAUCAUGUACAGGAUAGGUGGGAGACUUGGAAGCAUUGGCGUCAGCCAGUGUGGAGUCGCUGGUGGGAUACCACUCUUGAUUUGCUGGGUUUCUAACCUGCGGCCGUGAAUCCGGUCGGGGGACACUGUUAGUAGGGGCGAACAGUGUUCGCCCAUGCUCAGAACUUGUACAAAUUCAGAACUGUAGGGGACGACGCCCUACAUGGUUUGUGAAAAUAUAACGAAUGUACGAAUAUCAUAAAAUUGUCGGGCGAUAUAUGCAGGCGAACGCUGUUCGCCCCUACCGUAUAUCGUGCGAACAACUCAGUCGUGGAUAUAAAAAAAAGAGCCGACCAAAGCCGACUCGUUUUUAUAGAAAGAAUUAUCUGAUAGCUUCCUUGACCUUAGCUGCCUUACCAACUCUGUCACGGAGAUAAUAGAGCUUAGCACGGCGAACCUUACCGCUGCGUACAACCUCUACCUUUUCAACUACAGGUGAAUGAACAGGGAAAACUCUCUCGAUUCCACAGCCGUGAGCUACUCUACGAACUGUGAAUGUCUCGUGGAUUCCACCGU
rnacentral:rRNA from 1 species